ensembl:lncRNA
GCUGAUCUUCAUGGAAGGGAAUCCUGGGGCCUAAAGUGGAGUCAUCUCCUUCCCGAGAGGAUUUCCAUUGGCUCCGCUGGCAGCCAGGGAGCUCUGCAGACUUUCUUCUCCUUCUAGGGUCUCAGCUAACAUGAAAGCACCAGGUUCAGCCCCUCCCAGGACUCAGUCUUUCUGUAGAUUGCAGUCCUGAUAUUGACAUUUGCCCUCAAAACAAAGAAGUUGCAAGAAUAGUACAAAGAACUCUCAUACUCACUUCAUCCGGAUUCUCCAGGUGGAGUCUAGCAGCCUUCUCCACUGCAAAGCACUAGUUUGCCCUUUAACCGAUCUUCCUCGACUUAAAUGGAGUUACGUCCCAAUGAAGCCAUCGUAACUUGAAAAUAUCGUAAGCUGAAAUGCAUUUAACAUGUGCAAACCACCGAGCGCCACAGCUUAGCCCAGCCUGCCUUAAAUGUGCUCAGAACCCUUACGUUAGUCUGCAGUUGGGCAAAGUCACCUAACACAAAGUCUAUUUUAUGAUCGUGUGCUGAACGUCUCAUGUAAUUCACUGAUUACUGGACUGAAAGUGAGAAACAGAAUGGUCGUGUGGGUGCAGAAUGGUUGUCAGUGUAUGGGUUGUUUACCCUCGUGAUCGCGUGGCUGACGGGGAGCUGCGGGUGCUGCUGCCGCCCAGCAUCACGAGAGAGGAUCCGACGGCAGAUCGCUAGCCCUGGAAAAGAUCGAAACGCAAAAAGCGAAGCACGAUUUCUACUGAAUGCCACUUCUAAUGAAGUGGGACCACUGGAAGUCGGGGACCAGCUGUAUGACGUUCGUCAAACAGCGAUUUUCUAACUUCGUUCCAUUUACAAUUAUUUGGUAGUAUUCCACUAUGAGAAAAAGCAUUUCUUCCUCCCCACAGUACGGACUCAUGGAUUCCCGUUACAGUCGAUGUGAUGAAAUUCGUUACUAUCAUUAUUUAUUUUCAUUCUCAAAUCGUCCUGUAUUUAGCCAGCGGGAGCUCCUUCGAGAAGGCUGGCUUCUAUGUUCUUCUGAUGUGUCUCCCGUUUCUUAAGUGCUUCCUUACUUCCUGGGUUAAUAAAAUAUUCCAGGUGCAUCUUGUCCCUUCCUUACCCUAGCCCUGGAAUCAGCCGUUUCUCCAAAAAGCCCUGGUUCCUUAUAGAGGAAAAUGGUAUUUAGGAACCGUGUAGUACCAAGAUCUGGGCACCAUAUGUGGUCAUUGUUACUGGAGUUUCAUUACUUCUAGGCCCUAAUAGUUGACAGAGCUAAUAAAUAUAUGUAUGUGUGCACAUACACACAUACACACACACCCUUACAGGUAACUCUGUCUCUGUCUCUCUGUCUACCUAAAUUUCAGGUUCAUACUGAUGCCUCCAGUCCCAGUCCAACACCAGAAGGCUCCUUGUUCAUUCCAGUCUUGCGUCUUUCCAUAUUUGCAACUUUCUUUUCUGAUGAGAAAAUUGGUUCCCAUUAUCCUUAAUAUAUUUGCUUACUUGCUUAAUCCUAUAAUGCACUGAAAGUGGUUUCAGAACUACUAAGCCACAGCACACAUGAAACCAACCUACCGAUUAGACCCAGUGUUUGUUUGCAAUUCUUUCUGUCUUUAUUCUGAAGAUGUUAUAGUUGAAAGGUAGCUUUGCCCCUUCUGUGUGGUUAUGAAUAACAUUUUAAUAUGGGUAGGUUCAUUUGUUUCUCUUUGUAUUCCAUUUUAGCGUUUUUCCCCCAUCUUUAUUGAUUUUAUUUUUUUUUAGUAUAUCAGGAACAAAGGCAAAAUUAUGCAAAAAGGGUAUUCACAGAAGCGUCACUCCCUCCCACCAUCCUUUCCUACCCUCUCAUCCCCUCCGCCCUGUUUCUCUUCACCCCCCUUAGGUAACCAAUCUCUCUACUUUUGGGUAUCUUUUCCUCAUAUUUCUUUUUGCAAAAAUAAGCGGAUACAUGUAUAUUUUCUUAUUUCUUCUUCUUUCCUACAUAAAAGGUAUAAAUACUAUAAAAACUCUUUUGUGUCUACUUUUUUAAACUUUCAACUAUGUCAAUUCAUGUGGAUCCUCCCUAUUCUAUUUCAGCCGCGCAAUACUCCACUGUGAGCUGCACCAUUCCUUAUAUUUACAUCCCUCAAGUUUCCUAUAUUCUGCAAUUUCAAACAGAACUGUCCUGAAUAACCUUGAGCACAUUUACUUUUGUGUUGUUGGAGAUGCACCUUCAGGGUCAAUUCCU